CUGACUUUGUCUGCAAUAUUUACAUUUUAAAUUUAUCAAAAUAUUUAAUAAUUAAAUAAAAUAUUCACCGAAACAUAGCGAUAUCACUUACCUUGAGGUCGGGGUUCAUUACCAACUUUGCGGUCACCAAUUGGAUUAUCCGAAAAACCUACAUCGAUAUCAUUAUGAAGCAGUCUUGUGUAAUAUCCUCGCGAUUGAUAUUGCGUCUCUAACGGAUAUAAAUCUUUCUCGAUGUAUACCGAUACACAUCCAUAAUAUUCAAACAAUCUAAUUAAUCCCUCCAAUGAUUCAUCAUCUACUAUAUCGUGAGCACUAUAUUCAUUUGCUCCCGUAGGGCAUCGAAUAGUGAAUUUAAGACGAAAUUCUUCUCUAUUACAAUUUACUAAACGAUACAUUCUCGUCUCAAAAUGAGUAUAUGUCGUAUCUGAACGAAUCACGAUCAAUUUCUUUCGACUGCUGACAUAUCAGGGACCAUUUUCAUCCAUAAUUAAUUAUCUAUCUCAAUGAACACUAAGAGACAUCCGACGAGCCAUUUUAACUACAUAGAAAAAACUUUCAAAUCUCCUCUCAAAAUAUCUAGUGAAUAUAAUACAAAAGUUUAAACCU
rnacentral:lncRNA from 1 species